GUAUUAUUCCAUUAAGGCCUUCCGGCACAAGCACGUUCAACAUUGUAAGCAAGUGUGUAUUGUAAGAGAAAGGGAAUCCAAGAAGACAGCAAUCAAAUUGGAGACCCCUCCCCGAAGGUGCACAGGUGUUUGGGAAAAGAUUGUUGGGAGCGAGCACAUGCAAUAGCCUGCCAGCAUCAGCUUCCCAUUACAAUUCGUUAAUGAUCCUUCCGCAGGUUCACCUACGGAAA
rnacentral:misc_RNA from 1 species